rnacentral:piRNA from 1 species
UUACCCAACUACCUGAACGAUGACCAGGUC